UACGUAGGGCGCAAGCGUUGUCCGGAAUUAUUGGGCGUAAAGAGCUCGUAGGCGGCUUGUCGCGUCGGAUGUGAAAGCCCGGGGCUUAACCCCGGGUCUGCAUUCGAUACGGGCAGGCUAGAGUUCGGUAGGGGAGAUCGGAAUUCCUGGUGUAGCGGUGAAAUGCGCAGAUAUCAGGAGGAACACCGGUGGCGAAGGCGGAUCUCUGGGCCGAUACUGACGCUGAGGAGCGAAAGCGUGGGGAGCAAACAGG
rnacentral:rRNA from 1 species